CCUGUGACUCAGCACAGCUCAAUUGCUGAUUCCUCAUGGCUCCUGUUGGGCACAAGGUAACCCUGUCACCUUUGUCCCACAUCUGGACAUUUCCCCCAGGAUCCAUUCCUUGACAUUUAAUAUUGAAAGAAAGCCUUCACCCUCUGUCAAGAAUCCAAACCUUUGGCAGCAUUGUUUCCUGGAAAUGAAAUGGCUCCUUUCCAGAUUUUACCUUGGCGGAGACUUGGGAAUUCUCAGUACACUGUAUUCUUUGGUUUACCUGAAAUACCUAGUCAUACAUAACCAGGAGGAAACAACUAUGUGAAGUGGUAUAUAGGCAGAUGACUUUUCCACAAAUGAAUUAUGAUGUAAGACAAAAAAACGUGUUUCCUACCUUCUCAUUUCUCAAAUUCAUAAUUUGAAGUGCUGCUUGUAAUGAUAUUUUAACAUAAAUAUUUUCAAAAAUAAAUGCAAUGGUUAUAUUUAUUUUCAUCUAGCUUGGAGCAAUGUUAGGUUGAGAUUCCACACAGGCCUAUACAGGAACAUUCAGUGUUAAAUUAAUUGGAUUAAAAUGCAGAAUCAGGGCCCAAGAUACUGUGGAGAAAGACUAUAAAAAUAGCUGAAAAGGGCAGGUAAAGUAACAUUGUGUUAUAUAGCCAACCAUUUGUAAAAUGUCACUGCAAAGCAUGUGAACUAUCAUGCCAAACAAAAGUUAGUACCAAUGUGUUACCCCAUUACAUGAACAGAGCAUCCAGCUAUAAUUCAGCCUCACAUGAUAAGCAGAUUGAUGAAGCAAGACAUGCAAACAUGGUCAAAAUUUCCAGACUGAUUCUGCUGAGUGGUAAACCAUAAAAACUGCUCUAAAUUGGACCAGUUCUGGACACUGCCUUCUCUCCUUUCUGUUUGCCACUGGCCUCUUCCAAGGGAAAUAUGGGAGCUGUUAUAUGGAUUCUGUGACUGACACUCUUUAAGGUGAUACUGGAUUAGGAUUUCCAUAUAAAAAAUCUAAAAGUCUAAACAGAGGGCUAGAUCCAAUUGCUUGUUCCAUAUAGAAUAUAUAUCUAGUGAAUGAAUGUGGACUAUGUAGUUAAUUAAACAAGUAUGUAAGGCUGACUGAGUCAAUAGAUCUACUUGGGACUAAUAACUGGAUUUAGCCAAGCGACUGCUACAAUGAUUGUUCAUUAGAACUUGGUGGAACAGGCAAUGCUCUGAAAUAUGGGUUAUCAAUUACAUUUGUUUAACUGCCAUGAUUGCAGAUAUGGGCAUUAUUUAAAAGGAGGGCAUCCGACAACCCUAGUGCAAAGUAAGAUAAUUUUAAAAUUGUGUUCCACUUAUUUUAAAAUGUGCAAUAAAAUUUUUAAAAUCACUUCUGUCAGAAAAGGAACCUACGUAUCAGCCUUUUAAAGAUAUCUUUACAUGACAUAAUUUUAAAAUAAACAUUUUCAAGUUAUAUCUCUCAAUAUUUUUGGUGAUCAGGUGCACAAACAUUUAAAACAGAGGUGAAAUUGACUGUUAUUUAGAACAUUAAUUUAACAUUCAGGAAAACACUGAACUGAAAAUUACAUAACCCCAAAUAUAUAUGAACUACAGAGGAGUUAUAAAUACAUUAUAGCUACUGAAUGCAUGCUUAACAUUCCAUCAUAAAAAUACAAAAUAAAAAAAAUCCCUUUACAGUUCAAGUGAUUUAAUGUGAGCAGACAAAAAUGAUGUACUGAACCAGCCAGUAUCAUUUUAAAACUCAAGCCUCCCUACUGAAACAGAUUGAACACUGAUAUAACAUAAGAAAAAGUCUUUUGGAGUGUACAUGGGAAACUGUGCAGACAUUGCAGAUUUUUUUCUUAAGACACAAAACAUGUAAAAUUGCCAAUUAAUCACUUCAUUGUAAAUCUUGCUCUGGCAGUAUCUAAAUCCUUAGGCUAGGAUCCAAAGAGCCACAAGGGGAAAUCCAUGAUUUGAAAAGCUACCUCCUCUUCACCAAAACUACUUCCUACACUCUGUAGAAUUUUAAGCACAACCUCCAGUACAAUUUAGAGAAGUUGUGGGCAGACAAAGAAACAAAAAAUAAAAUAGCCUUGAUGUAUAUGUGGAAGCAUUUUUGUACAGCUAAUGAACCCUUUGGAUAACCUUAGCCUGAAGUAUACCAAUAACUAUGCCCAUAGUAACACUAACAUUAAAAUGAUAAGCCACCAUUGCAGGCAGAUGUCAACAUAAGUAUGGGAGAUCUGUGGACAAGAGAUCAAAAUGAAAAUUAUAUUUCUGCAAGAUCCUUGUUGAAAGCAGGAAAAAGUGAUGACUACAAAGAAAGGGAAAGAAGAGAUGCAAUCAAAGAGACACAUGCAAAUGGCUAUUUAAGCAAGUGUUCCAGUUGCUGUCCAUUUUUUUAACAUUCAUUUUCACACACAGAUAGAAGACGACUUAGGUGGUUGUGCUGACAAUUUAAAGGGGGAAUAUUGCUAGCAGAAGGAUUACCAGUGUAGUUAAAUACCAAUUUUCUAGAGGCAAGUUCUGUAUAAAUAUGAAUUCGUUUUAAACCUGUUCCCAUGAAGGUAAAUAUUAUUUCAAAUAUUUUUGAAAAUAUUUUGACCACCAUCUUGUAGCUUGGUUUAUGAGCUAGCUCUACUUGAACGUAUUAUGUUAUAUUUUGGAUAACCUUUUUGUUUUUUUUUUCUGGGAAGGAUAUAUAUUAAAGAUAAGGAUUCCAGAGGGGAGGGAUAAAGAAACAAUUUAUUGAAUACUGAAAUAAAGAAAGAUGAGGGACAGUAUAAGCUAAUUCUUGGUAAAGGAUGUUUUAAAAGGCUAUCAGAAGAAAGAUGGAGAAAAAAUAUGCCCACCAAAUGCAUUGUAAGUUGCAACUGGUCAAAAUCUAGAGAGCUAUAUAGGAAAACUAUUAGUUUUAUUACAUGAUGUCCUAUUUUCUAACCACCCCAAGUAGAUAGUUUGGUAAGUAGACAAAACAGGGUUUUCUCUGUAGUGGCUUCCCAACUACGACAAUUUCCCCAAGGGAAGUCAGGCAUGUUCCAUUCCUUAUGAGCUUCCAGCAAGCAGCCAAAGAUGUACUGUUUCAUACAGCCAUUGCCCUUAAAGCAAGGUGGUAUUUCUAGUUGCUUUAGGUGUCUCUCUCCGUGUGUUUUAAGAAUUUUUUUUAAUUUAAAAAACUGUCUUAGGUUCAAAACACACUGCAGAAAUAAUCCAGUUUGAGACCAUUUUAACUGCUUUGGCUCAGUGCUAGGGAA